GGUGUAUACCGGAGCCAAGGUCACAACAUGAUCUUUGCAGUCCUCACUGGUUCUCUCUGGAGACUGAGCUAUCUACUAACAUUCAUUUUCUUUGGACCAUGGUAAUUGUUAAGAGAGUUUGGGACUCCAUAUUCAAGAGAGAUUAUGAUCCAUUAUGAUUCUAGGUUAUUACCAAUUUCAGAGAUAAACUCAAAGAUAUCAUAGAAGCAGGUCCUACAUAGGACCUACUGUUAAGGUCAAAAGGGGGAAGAAGAGAUUGUACAAUUAAGAAAGCGUCUUGUUGAUUACUCUACGAAGGAAUCACAAAUACUCGAUGAUAAAUACAAGUUAAGGAUUAUUUUUGGGCUCCAAGCUGCAGCUACCCUCCCCAUCCCCAUUCUGAUUCCAAGAAAAGCACCGGUGGCCACGAGGAGGAAGGGCAUUGCCAACUGGCACGCUAAGAAGCUAGCUAAGCAGCACAGGGUGGACCUUGCCAAGGUUACUAGCACCGGGACAUAUGAUCGAAUUACGUCGAUAGGUAUUGAGACGGUUGUCGGAAUCCAGCCAAAGUCUAAGCCCGCUCCUGGUGGUGUUCAUGGGUAUUACGGUCUUGUAGAAGAUAAGUAUGAUAUACAAUGUGGUUCAAGAUUUUAGGUUUUAGAAUUAGUUUUCAAGCUGUUCAUACCACUAUUUUGAGCCUUCAAUGAAAUGGAUGGCUGCUCACUUCUAUUGUUA